AUGAACGCUAGCGGCAGGCCUAACACAUGCAAGUCAGGGGCAGCACAGGUAGCAAUACUGGGUGGCGACCGGCGGAUGGGUGCGUAACGCGUAUGCAGCCUACCAUUGAUUGGGGCAUAGCCCGAAGAAAUUCGGAUUAAUACUCCAUAAUAUUCAUCAAAGGCAUCUUUUAUGAAUUAAAGCUUUUGCGAUCAAUGAUGGGCAUGCGUGACAUUAGUUAGUUGGUGAGGUAACGGCUCACCAAAACGAUGAUGUCUAGGGGUUCUGAGAGGAUUAUCCCCCACACUGGUACUGAGACACGGACCAGACUCCUACGGGAGGCAGCAGUGAGGAAUAUUGGUCAAUGGACGCAAGUCUGAACCAGCCAUGCCGCGUGCAGGAUGACGGCCCUAUGGGUUGUAAACUGCUUUUCCACGGGAAGAACCCUCCGACGUGUCGGAGACUGACGGUACCGUGGGAAUAAGCAUCGGCUAACUCCGUG
rnacentral:rRNA from 1 species